AGCCUGCCCAGUGACAAAGUUCAACGGCCGCGGUACCCUAACCGUGCGAAGGUAGCAUAAUCACUUGUUCUUUAAAUGAGGACUCGUAUCAACGGCACUACGAGGGCUAUACUGUCUCCUUUUUCUAAUCAGUGAAACUGAUCUCCCCGUGAAGAAGCGGGGAUCAAAAUAUAAGACGAGAAGACCCCAUGGAGCUUUAAACUCACUAUACACCUCUGUGCCUUUAUGUCACUAGACACAAGAGAUCUGCGUACUAGUUUUAGGUUGGGGGGACCACGGAGUAUAAUUUAACCUCCAUAACAAAUGGGCUAACACCCUUAUCUAUGAGACACAACUCUAAGAACUACUAAACUAAUGCUUAUGACCCGAUAUUCGAUCAAUGAACCAAGUUACCCUGGGGAUAACAGCGCAAUCUACUUCAAGAGCCCAUAUCGACAAGUGGGUUUACGACCUCGAUGUUGGAUCAGGGUAUCCCGGUGGUGCAGCCGCUACCGACGGUUCGUUUGUUCAACGAUUAAAACCCUAC
rnacentral:rRNA from 1 species